GGUGUAGCGGGUGUAAAUGCGCAGAUAUCAGGAGGAACACCGGUGGCGAAGGCGGGUCUCUGGGCAGUAACUGACGCUGAGGAACGAAAGCGUGGGUAGCGAACAGGAUUAGAUACCCUGGUAGUCCACGCCGUAAACGGUGGGCGCUAGGUGUGGGUUCCUUCCACGGAAUCCGUGCCGUAGCUAACGCAUUAAGCGCCCCGCCUGGGGAGUACGGCCGCAAGGCUAAAACUCAAAGGAAUUGACGGGGNCCCGCACAA
rnacentral:rRNA from 1 species